rnacentral:rRNA from 1 species
AGCAGCCGCGGUAAUUCCAGCUCCAAUAGCGUAUAUUAAAGUUGUUGCAGUUAAAAAGCUCGUAGUUGAAUUUCGGGACCAAUCUGCCGGUCGUGCCUCCGGUACGCACUGGUUUUAUUGGUUUCUCCCUUCUGACGAACCAUGAUGUCAUUAAUUUGGUGUCAUGGGGAAUCAGGACUGUUACUUUGAAAAAAUUAGAGUGUUUAUAGCAGGCUUACGCUUGAAUACAUUAGCAUGGAAUAAUGAAAUAGGACGUUUGACCCUAUUUUGUUGGUUUCUAGGAUCGACGUAAUGAUUAAUAGGGAUAGUUGGGGGCAUUAGUAUUCAAUUGUCAGAGGUGAAAUUCUUGGAUUUAUUGAAGACUAACUACUGCGAAAGCAUUUGCCAAGGAUGUUUUCAUUAAUCAAGAACGAAAGUUAGGGGAUCGAAGACGAUCAGAUACCGUCGUAGUCUUAACCAUAAACUAUGCCGACUAGGGAUCGGAUGAUGUUAAUUUUUUAAUGUACUCAUUCGGCGCCUU